rnacentral:rRNA from 1 species
AUGCACUUCAAGGCCACCUGGGCCCGGAGGUUCGACCCGUCGGACACCGUCCGCCGCGACUUCCACCGCCUCGACGGCACGUCCGUGCGGGUGCCGUUCCUCUCCGACCCCGGGAUGCAGUACGCCACCCGCUUCGACGACCUCAGCUUCAAGGUCCUUCAGUGCUUCUACAAGAUGGCGGGGCGCGACGGCAGGCUCGACUCCAAGGCGCCGCUCUUCUCCAUGCUCAUAUUCCUCCCGCACCGGCGCGACGGGCUCCGCGACCUCCUGCGGCUGGCGGUCACCGAGCCGGACUUCGUCAUGCGCUGCGCUCCCCGGCGCGAGCAGCUGGUCUCCCCGUGCCUGCUCCCAAGUUCAAGUUCUCCUUCCGGUUCGACGCCACGGACGCGCUGCGCGGCCUCGGGCUCGCCGCGCCGUUCGACCCGCUGGCCGCCGACCUGUCGGGGGCGGUGUCGAACAUGCCCCCGGAAGGGCUCUACGUGUCGGCCGUCGAGCAGAUGUGCGCCGUGGAGGUGGACGAGGAAGGCACGACGGCAGUAG